GACGAACGCUGGCGGCGUGCCUAAUACAUGCAAGUCGAACGCAGUGGGGCCGGGUGAGUAACACGUGGGUAACCUCCCAUCAGAGGGGAUAACACUUGGAAACAGGUGCUAAACCGAGACAGAUGGAUGGACCAGCGGUGCAGUAGCUAGUUGGUGAGGGAACGGCUCACCAAGGCCACGAUGCAUAGCCUGCCUGAGAGGGUGAUCUGCCCCACUGGGACAGAGACACGGCCCAGACUCCGACGGGAGGCAGCAGUAGGGAAUCUUCGGCAAUGGACGACAGUCUGACCGAUCAACGCCGCGUGAGUGAAGAAGGUUUUCGGAUCGUAAAACUCUGUUGUUAGAGAAGCGGUAUCUAACCAGAAAGCCACGGCUAACUACGUGCCAGCCGCCGCGGUAAUAC
rnacentral:rRNA from 1 species